AACUUAUACUUGUUACGCAAAAAAAAAAAGAGAAGUUCUUUAUUCUGAUAUCUUCUAUAUGAUAUAGUGACAAUGUAAAUCCAACAGGACAAAACUGGACUUAUCAACAAAAUAAACCGGGGUUUGUUCUCACCACUUCCGAUUAUAUACUCCUCCACCUUGAAACAGAUAAUAAAAAGCAUGCUAAGGAAAACUCCAGAACACCGACCUACAGCUGCCGAGC